CUCCCGAGAUCCAGACGAUCAGCUUGAAUAUUCCGAACCAGAACAGCAGCUGGAGGGCAACAUGCAGACCGAGAAGACUGCCAAAUAGAUUCAUUCUUGGGUGACUCCUUGCUGAGGUACUGCCGCACUCCGCGAAUGGUGUUAGAAAAGUACUCGUCCCACGUCAGCUCGCCAAUGUCAAUGACGAACUUAUUCCUGUCCACCACGUCCAUCGACUUGGAAAGGGCCAGUAGACGCUUGCUGUCAAAGUGCCAUUCCGUGAAAAUGAAGCGCUCCAGGGUGUUCAGCGAGUUCCACACGUUCUUGUGCAGCCUCAUCAAACUGUAAGCAGUGGAAAAUAAACUCUUAUUCUAAGAGAGAUCUCUGUGAUACUCACAUGGGACGGCCGCCGGUGAUGCGGGUAACGAUAUCCAGGAAGAAUGCAGGCACAAAGUGGAACAGUAUGGCGCUCAGCCGAAAGACCCAGAGGCUCUUGACCAGCCGCAGAUUAGGGUACCAGACGGCGCUGUUCAAAGGAUAGUCGUGCAGAUAGCUGUUGAUCUUGUCCGCCAUCAGAUCGAAGCGGAAGGGCUUGUACGUGCUGGAGGUCAGGUGGAAGAUCUGCAGCUCGGCAGGACGGCCGGCGUUCUUCACCUUGAGCGCAUUGACAUAGUAGCCGGUGGUGAUGAUGCCAUUGACCACCACAUCGAUGGGAAUGUAGUCCAUGAUGAUGCUCGGAUCUAGGGGCAGGCGGCGUAGCACUCCCUUGGAGGCGCCCAUAAAGAAGCCCUGGGGGCCGUUCUUCGAGAUGGUCCACCCAGGAAUGGGUUCCUUCCAAGCCGCCGUGACUGAAAGUAUAAGUUUCUAUAUCCGAAAAGCGUAGAAGCCCCGUGUGUUUGUCACUCACUCAUGCUGGGGCGGACAAUGCCGCAGGGAAAGCUACUGGCGGCAUUGGCCACCUCGUGCUCGGCCAGGUGCUUGGUGAAAGUGUACGUAUUCGGAUGAUCCUUGAGCAGUCUGUAAAAGAUUUUCGUACAAUUGUAAAAUAAUCCAAUUUCAGGUACUCACUUCUUUUCGAGUGCCUUUAGCGCCUCGUCGUUGAGGGUUUCGGCCAGCUGUAUGAUCUUCUCGGGAUCGUCGGGCGAAGGAUAGAGCUUCUCCUCGACCUCUGUCAGAUAGGCGUUCACAUAGGCGCUGGACACAUGGACCAGCGAAUCCAGUUGCUUCAGCUGCUGGCACAGUUCAACCACUCGUCGUGUUCCCUUCAGAUUGAUGUUGGUUGUCUCCUUGAGGGACUGAAAGAAGUCUAGGGUGGCCGCCGAAUGGAACACCACAUUUACAUUAUCGAUCAGCGUCUGGCGGUCCUUUGGCGAGAUUCCCAGGUUGUCCAAGCCCACAUCACCCUCAAUGGGGACGAUCUUCGUGAGACGCGACUCCAGCUGCAUCUCCUUGAAGCGAUCAAAGACAGAGUUCUUCUUGAGCUCCUCGAGCCUCUCCUCCACGCUCUUUCCCUUCUUGGCGCGCAUCAGCAGAUACAGGUUGCCCACCUUGGGCACAUCGCGCAGCAGCUUCUCCACAAUGGUGACGCCCACGAAGCCAGUGGCGCCCGUGAUGAACACAUUGCGCCCCGCAUAGAAGUCUGUGAUGGAAGAGCUGAAAAAUUGUAGGAACACAUGCCAUAAAAUGAAAAUGAACUCUCAUCAAACUUUCUCUCAUCUCCCAUUCAAAUGGCAGUGGCUGCUGUCGUCGCGUCGUGGCAAACUUACGAAACCCCAAGCGACUCUGUGGACAUCUCCGACUGGAUUCCAAGGCAAAACCUGUUUCCCGCCAGGUGCCGGGUGUCGGUUUUCGGGUCACUGCCAAUACUCGUACUGUUCAAAUCCAAUUUGUGGGCGUCCCAGUUGACUCUAGCCUAAUGGUACAUUGCCUAUUGUAUUCGGCUGCACUCAAACCUGUCAUUUGAUUAAAUAACAUGCCAAGGAAUGCAUUUAGAAACUGAAAAAUUAAAGGCAUAAUUCAGUCAUGAGAUCUUUGGAACUUUAUUCCAUACAGAUUUUUUUAUAAUGCUUAAAUUCAUUGCUUGAAGGCUGUUGCCGUCGACAGACAGACAUAACUGAGCGACCAUAGCCUUUUCCUGUAAGCUCUACUGAAAUAUCAUUCGGCAUCUCCCAUCACCUCUCAACUGUCCCCAGCGUAUUGCCAAACCUUUUUCCCGUCAAGCAACGAAAGGCACACGCAACUUGAUCAUUCAAUUAUCCAACUCCAAGCACAUUUUUUCUUUUAAUGAUCUGCAGUCCGCGCCAUCUCAAAUUUUUUGUUAUGCCAAAUGAUUUUAUAAUGAUGAUCAUUGAAGGGGAUCGAAUCUCUGUUUUUCCCCUCAACAAAUGCGUGAUAUAAUUUCUACAUAACAAAUCCAUAUGAAACUCGAAGAAAUGCAACAUUCCCUAUAUGUAUGUAUAUUGUAGUAUUUAUAUGCAAAAAUAAUGCAAAUUUCCGCAUGCAGUCACAGGCGAGGCCCUGAAGGUCUUUGCAGGUCCAUAAAAAAGGCGUCAAGUCAUGGUUAAUGAUUGCAUGUUGCCCCCUGGCGGCCUCUUGUCAGAGAUUGCUGUCUAAACUAAAUUGAGCUUUCACUUUGGAGCAGCUACUACCCGAAACAGAAGGGAAACGAAGCAGGCGGGUGACCCGAUCCAGAGACAGGCAGAAAUGUGUUGCCUUGUCUUUUUCUGUCUUUGAUCCCAUUCAGUGCUGUGGUAAAUUGGGUUGCUUAUCUGGCUGAUACCAUGCACUGUCCGUUACUCUGAUUAGAUUUCCCAUCUGGUCAGUGGCGCGGCUUAUCUUGGGUAAUUAAUUGCUGGGAUUUACUGUAUUGGCGGAGGUGCUACUUGAAAUUUGUUUCAAAUUAUACUUUGGUUCGGAAACAGUGCUGGGAAGCCACUCAACUAUUCUCAACACUCGAUGGAAAAAGUGUUUUGUAGAUGGAACCAUAGGCUGUGCACGUUUUAAUUACAUUUAAUAACUAUACGAGUAUCAGUGCAUAUAAAUUUAAAAGCUAUUCCCACCUCAGCAAUUAAGGAACCCUCGACUCAAUCAUCGUCUGUUAGCCUGUCUGACCGGAUGUCUGCCUGGAUAACUGACCCUACCAACUGUGGCCAACCUUGCGGUGGCCAAUAAAUCUCUGGCUUACUCUUGCGAUUAUUAAUGAACGUUCGAAAAGACUACAUAUGACAACCUGUAAUUUUCCGCUUGAUUUUCUGACGACUGCAAAACGGAACCAUUUACGUCAUCUCUGGCUUGCUCCACCAGAGAUCUACAGAUCUGUGGAUACACUUCCCUUCCCCACUAGUCAGCAAGGAAAAAGGCAAGGCGUCAACAGGUCAAAGUUUGAGUAGAGACUGAAGAAUGCAAUCGCUCUCUCUGUAAACACUCCCUCUCUCAGAGAACACAGUCGACUCUUAUGUGAUGGAGAAGAAAGUGUCGAGAUAUGCUAAUGCAAUGGAAUAACGAGAAGUUGUUGUACAUUUGCGUUGCGGCUGCUCUUUUAGAAACAAUAUUCCAAGAAAUGCAUUCGAGUGGAUGUCAAAGAUCGUGCACAAAUAUUGUUUAAAUGCAUGUUUCUUGGCAGAUCUGCCGCAUUUCGAACUUUGCACCGAAUAUCUAACCUCAAUAGCAGCUUUUGAGCGGAGAAAAGAGAAAAAUUUGGCCGAAAGUUGUCAAACGGGCUACCAAAAAAACACACACACAGACACCGCUGACAAGUCGGGUC